GAAAAGCAGACAAUGGAUGCCUGGAGGAUGCUAAAGCCGAAGAAGGACGUACUAGGCCACGAUAGUCGUCGGGGAGCUGCCAAGAAGCGCUGAUCCGGCGGUGUCCGAAUGGGGAAACCCACCCCGCAGAAACUGCGGGGGGUCCCGCAUCUUGUCUAGCCCACUGACUUUGGAAUUAUUCUUGCCGACCGCUGGUAUUUUAGCGGUGACGGAUUGAGAGCUUUCCGAGGUCGGAGGUUAGAAAAGGUGCGGGAGGGGCACGCCCUGAACUGAAACAUCUAAGUAGGGGCAGGAAAAUAAAUCAACGAGAUUCCGUAAGUAAGCGGAGAGCGAAAGCGGAAAAGCCUAAACCAUGUACAGUUACAUGUACGUGGUGUUGCGGGGCAGACGAUAUGGGAUUGGAUGAGGAGUAGUUGAAUCCUGUGGAAACAGGAGCCAAAGAGCGUGACAGCCGCGUAAGCGAAACUUCCGUCCACCUUAGUUUGUACCCAAGUACCAUGAAGAACAUACUUUGUGGGAAUCCGGGGUAACCACACUCCAAGGCUAAAUACUUUAGCAUACCGAUAGUGAACCAGUACCGUGAGGGAAAGGUGAAAAGAAGGGUUAAAAACCUAGUGAAAUAGAACCUGAAAUUGUCUGCUAUCAAGCAGUGAGAGCCCCUCCGCAAGGUCGGGGUGAUCGCGUGCCUAUUGAAGAAUGAUCCGGCGAGUUUUCGAUUGCUGCAAGUUUAACCCCGCUAAGCGGGGGGAGGCGUAGGGAAACCGAGUCUUAACAGGGCGAAAUACCAGCAGCAGUUGGAAGACCCGAAACCUGGUGAGCUAACCAUGAGCAGGGUGAGUCCCGCCGAAAGGCGGGAGGAGGCCCGAACCCGUCAGAGUUACAAAUCUGUGGGAUGACUUGUGGUUAGGGGUAAUAUGCCAAUCGAACCAGGAGAUAGCUGGCUCUCCCCGAAAUAUAUAUAGGUAUAGCCUCAAAGCCAACUGACAUGAGGUAGAGCACUGGAUGGGCCGGGCGGCGCAAGCCGUCCUGUUCAAUCAAACUCCGAAUUCGUGUCAGAGUACUUUGGGAGUCAGAACGACCCGGCUAAGCGGGCCGCUCAAAAGGGAAACAACCCAGACUGUCGUCUAAGGCCUCUAAAUGGAUGCUUAGUGUUGAACGCAGUCGAAUUCCUCAGACAGCCAGGAGGUUGGCUCAGAAGCAGCCAUCCUUUAAAGAAAGCGUAACAGCUCACUGGUCGAUUUGGGAGUUCGGCGCGGAAAAUGAACCGAGGCUGAAGCAUCCUGCCGAAGAUACAGAUUUCCCCGCAUUUUGCGGGGGAGUGGUAGGGGAGCGUUGAGGGAGCGGUGAAGGCCAGCCGUAAGGCGAACUGGAGCGACCUCAAGUGAGAAUGCCGGAAUGAGUAGCGUAAUCCCAGUGAGAAUCUGGGACGCCGAAUACCCAAGGUUUCCUCCGCGACAUUGUUUGACGGAGGGUGAGUCGGCACCUAAGGCGAGGCCGCAGAGGGCGUAGCCGAUGGACGAGACGUAAAUAUUCGUCUACAUGGAAAAUGUCGUUAUCAGCUAGGGAUGGACAAAGUGAGAGCAGCCAAACGCGUGCAGUGAAUGCGGCGUCUAAGCAGUAAGACAGUCGGUCCUGUAAAACGCGGACCGGUGUUUAAUCGAACUGUGACGGGAAGUUUGAAGAGAAAUCAACGAACAACUUGGUGCGCUUUUGUUUUCAAGAAAAGAUUCGUAGUGAGACAUUUUUUAUGCCGUACCGCAAACCGACACUGGUGGGUGGGUCGAGUAGACCAAGGCGAUCGGGAGAAGGUAGUUCAAGGAACUCGGCAAAAAAGCUGGACGUAAGUUUGCAAGAUGUCCUGCCCGCCGCAAGGCGGGCCGCAGCUAAAGCUUAUUCCUCGACUGUUUAACUAAAACACAGGUCUGUGCGAACUCGAAAGAGGCGGUAUACAGGCUGAUACCUGCCCAGUGCUCGUAAGUUAAGUGGAUGGGUGAUCCCGCAAGGGUUAGCCUUGAAAUGAAGCUCGAGUGAACGGCAGCAGUAACUAUGACAUGAACUGUUCUAUGGUAGCGAAGUUCCUUGUCGGGUAAGUUCCGACCCGCACGAAAGGUUUAACGAGGGAAUAACUGUCUUGAACUAUCACCCGGCGAAAUUGAAAUGGCUGUGAAGAUGCGGCCUAACUCUACUAGGACAAAAAGACCCUAUGGAGCUUUACUGUAUCCAGGCCCUGUUUUGGGCUUUGGGAUUGUUUAGAGUAGGAGGGACCACGUUCAGUUAAAUGAACGUGGAAAAGUGAAACACCUCUCGUUUUGAAGUCACAAAACUAACCCACAUGUGCUGGAAUCGCACAUGGAGACAAGGUCUGGUUGGCAGUUUUACUGGGGAGGUAUCCUGCUAAAAGGUAACGCAGGAGUACAAAGGUGCACUAGGCUCGGAUGGAAAUCGAGCGAGUCGUGUAACGGCAUAAGUGCGCUUGACUGUGAGAGCGGCAGCUCGAGCAGGUGCGAAAGCAGGUCGUAGUGAUCCUCGGAUCCCUCGUGGGAGGGACCGGGCUUAACGGAUAAAAGCUACCCUAGGGAUAACAGGCUGAUCGCCGCCAAGAGUCCAUAUCGACGCGGCGGUUUGGCACCUCGAUGUCGGCUCAUCCUAUCCUGGAGGGGCAGUACCUUCCAAGGGUCCGGCUGUUCGCCGGUUAAAAGGGUACGCGAGCUGGGUUCA
rnacentral:rRNA from 1 species